AAGUCGUAACAAGGUUUCCGUAGGUGAACCUGCGGAAGGAUCAUUAAAAAAAUGAUGAAUGUCGGGGGGGCGUUCAAGGUUAGUUUUCUACUUUCUUUGUCGCUCUCCGUGUAUUCAACCAACCCGCUCUUGUAUUUGGAUCAACCAAAAAUUAACAAAGAUACUUUAUAUAUAAUAAAAAUAAACUUUCAACAACGGAUCUCUUGGCUCUC
rnacentral:misc_RNA from 1 species